rnacentral:rRNA from 1 species
GACGAACGCUGGCGGCGUGCUUAACGCAUGCAAGUCGAACGGUGAAGCGCCUUCCUUUUUGGUGGGUGUGGAUGAGUGGCGAACGGGUGAGUAACACGUGAGUAACCUGCCCCCUUCUUCUGGAUAACCGCAUGAAAGUGUGGCUAAUACGGGAUAUUCUGGGUCUGUCGCAUGAUGGGUCUGGGAAAGAUAUUGUUUCGGUGGGGGAUGGGCUCGCGGCCUAUCCGCUUGUUGGUGGGGUGAUGGCCUACCAAGGCGGUGACGGGUAGCCGGCCUGAGAGGGUGGACGGGCACACGGGGACUGAGACACAGCCCAGACGCCUACGGGAGGCAGCAGUGGGGAAUAUUGCACAAUGGGCGCAAGCCUGAUGCAGCGACGCCGCGUGAGGGAUGGAGGCCUUCGGGGUGUGAACCGCUUUCGCCAGUGAAGCAGGCCUGCCUCGUUUGUGGGUGGGUUGACGGUAGCUGGAUAAGAAGCGCCGGCUAACUACGUG